AUCUAGAGAUGCAGUCUGGCUACAGCAGCUUUGCUGAGCUGUGGUGGGCUCCACCCAGUUCAAACUUCCUGGGCGACUUUGUUUACACUGUGAGGGGAAAACCACCUACUCAAGCCUCAGUAAUGGCAGAUGCACCUCCCCCGACCAAGUUCAAGCAUCCCAGGUUGACUUCAGAGUGCUGUGCUGGCAGUGAGAAUUUCAAGCCAGUGGAUGUUACUUAGCUUGCUGGGCUCUGUGGGGGUGGGAUCCUCUGGGCAAGACAACUCGGCUCCCUGGCUUCAGCCCCCUUUCCUGGGGAGUGAAGAGUUGUGUCUCGCUGGCGUUCCAGGUGCCACCAAGAUUCCUGAUCUACCUUGCUCUGUGUCCUGAGAGGCUGGCUUGUAUGGCUCUCAUUAAGGAGUUCCCUUGCCUUCCAACUUCUGGAUGGGUUCAGCUAGCAGGAGGUCAGAAAUCAGGAGGAGAAUGUGGGUCUUUAUUUCCCCACUUUCCCCUUUGCUAGUUUGCCAUGAGUUGGCGAUGCCCGUGUUUCUCCAACUAAGGUCACAACUCCUGUCAGAUGGCCCUCCGCUACAGCUACAGCCACAAAAUUGGAUUUAAAGGAGGCACCAAUUCCAUGUGCUGAAGGGAAACCCACCCAUCCCAAGGUGGCAACACUACCCACUGCAGGAUUAAGGGUGGGAUAACAACAAGAAAACCUGGAGGAAUGGAGCAUAUGUUUCCUUGGACUUUUGUUAAAUUACCAUAUUGGAAAGAAAAUCACCUGAGAGAGCUAUCUCUUCCCAGCUUUGCUUAGGCCUGGUAGAAGAACAUUUAGGGUGUUUCUUUCAGGAGAAGCUACCAGAUACUAGAGAAGUAGGUACAGUGGGGGAUAGACUGCACAGAGAAUGCAGCCAUCUUUACCUGAGCCCCACUCAUUCCAAGAAUGAUUUCUUACCUAAUGAUCAUGCGUUCAUUCAACAGGAUAUAAUAAAUCCCUAUUCUUUGCCAAAAACUAUCUAACUUAAGGCAACAUAUUAGGGGAAAUUCAAAAGUAGCAUGAGAGAAAUGAGCAUCUACCUUGAGAAAAUUCCGGACAUCUACAAGAAAUUAUGAGAUUGGAAAGGCUAAGUUGAAGGAUUUGUGUAGCAACCAAUGACAGAGUUCAAGAGAAAAGAAAGUACAAGUAAAUUGGUGUUGACAGGGACAGCUUCCUUGUGAAUUCAGGUGGUGUGGGUAUGGGUAGCAGAAAUCAUCACAUGGUAUACAAUGAAAUGAUUACUGUGUGUAGCUUUGUUAAGAGAAAUUAUUUUGUUUCAAUGUAAUUUUAAACAUUCUUAAUAAAAAUAGAAUUCUGGUUCCUUUAAGAAAGGUAUAGCUAUAUAAUAGGUUAUUAAAAACCGCAAAGUCUCUAGUGGGAAGGGCAAUAACCUCUUCGAAGGAAAAUAAAACAUUGGCUUUAAAAAGGACAUUGGGGAGGGAUUGGAUAAAAGUGAAUGAAUUGGAAUUUUAUACAGUUGUGGAUUGUUUAGUAACCUUUUAUUGAUUGGAGCAAAAGCAAAGAAUCAUGUAGAAAGAAAUGUAGUAGGUGACCCUGCUUGGUUUUUUUCUUUUCUUUUUUUUUGAUUUUUGAUAAAGUGUACUAAAGAGUAAAUUGAAAGAGUAAGAGGACUUGAUGCCUUCUCACUCAGAGAAUCAGGAAAUUAGGUAGCUAUUUCAAAUGUAUCAAGCACUUACUAUGUGUCAAACACUGUGCCGAGUGCCUUGUAUACACUAUUUCAUUCAAAGUCCCUAGUAGUCCUGUAAGGAAAGACUUCCUAUUGGACCUCUACAGUUAGACCCAAGGUAAUUCCAUUCAACUAGUGCCAGCCUCAGAUAUGUAGGCACAGUAUCUGGGGAUACUCAUUCUCAGUGGGGCUGGCAUUGCAAAUGAGACUUAAGAGAAGAAUGGCACAUUUGCAAUAUAUGUUUAGGCUGGGAACAGUGAGAUGAGAGGCCAAAAAGAUGGCUUACAGUAGAGAGGCUUAAGUGCCAAGUGUGUGGGUUUCAGUUAUUUAUUUUCUUUUUUAUUUUCUGGGAUUAAAUAAUGGAGUAUACAUUUAGUUGGUGGUCAAAAAGCACAGUUAGCAUAUUAGGACUCUUGUAAUAAUUAGUUUUCCUCAGGAAAAAGGGGAAAGGGUUAUUUUCUCAUAUUUGAUUCUGUACAUUAGGCAAAAUAGUGGGAAGUGGAGGAGGAGGUUAUGAAGCUCUUGAAGGUCUUGCUGAAAACAUUUUAAAAUGGUUUUACCAACAUUCAUUUUUUCCAUUCAUUUAUUCUCUUACUUGACAAAUAUUAGCUGAGCACCUAUAAUGUGCUAGGCUUUAUAUUAGUUGCUGGGUUUAUGACAAAGUUUGAGAUACAGUUCCUGACCUAAAGUAUUUCAGAGAUGAAUUACAAUACAGCAAGUAUUUUGAUGAGAUGAGCAAAAGAAGGGGUGGGAGACUGAACAGAGGCUCAGUCCAGUCUCAGGGUUUAGUGGCAUCUCAACUUUACAACUAAGAAUCCUAUCAGUGAGAAAAAUAGAAGCUCAAUUUGAUUUUUUGUCAUGCCCUACUUCCUUUCUGAGCACUCCGUCUCUCCAGGAUAUAUGAUUUGAAAGUCUAUUAUUUCAAGAACAAGGGCAUUUGUCAGCAUUUAUGUGCCUCAGGGUCAGUCAGUAGUAGCAGCAGAGGGAAGGCCUUUAAGAGGGCUAAGUGCUACAUGUGCAAAGAUAGGGUUAAAAGAAUUCUGUUCAGAUAUCUCGUCUUCAGAGAUCAAUGCCCAAGAAUAGCCAGAAAGAAUAUUAAGUCUUAGAAGUAACUUCCUAUGAAUGACAGAUGUGGUGGCAGAUUGCAUCCCACUGGGAAAACCAACAUCAGCUACUCAGAAGAGGGAGCUUUUAAGGUUUGAGAUAUCGUUUCUGCACAUUGCAUAGGGCAGAAAACUGCCUUCUCUGAAUGGUAUGUCUCAUGCUAACAAUCGUAGCAAGUCCUAAUUCAAACAUUUUAGGCAAGGAAAGGAAGCAAAUUAACAUGUAUUGAUUGCCUACUGUGCUGUUUUCACAUGUAAACUCACAAUAAUCCUGGGAGAUAGUAAUCAAAAGUCUCUUUUUAUAGAUAAGAACAUCAGACUCAGAGAAAUUAAAUAUCUUAGUUGGGGUCGUGCAACUAUAAGAUGGCAAAGAUUUGAAUUCAGCUCCAAAUUCCAACAGACAGCAAUAAAGUUAUAUUCAAAGGGAGAUGUGUUUGGAGGGUGGACACACUUACGUGUUGAAAAUGUUUGAUUUCACUAUUCUGUUUUCCUUGCCUCCAAAGUAGUUAUGGUGCCCUGGGUAAUAGCUUGUGGGUGCUUAGGGUUAAUCACCAUAAAUUCCCUUUACAAAGAGCUGUCUUGAUGGAUUUGCCACUCUUGUCAAACUCUUGUGGGCACAAGCUAAUCAGGUCAUGAACACAGUAGUCAAGACCAGAGCCAAACAGAAACUUGUCAAAAAUCUUAACAUGACUGAAGCACAUUCACAGUGGAAACAUUUGAGGAAUAUUCACAACUGUUGAAGCUCCAGUUCAGUGUAGUUCCCAGCACUCUUUAUUUUCACUGCUACGCCUACAUUUUCAAUGUGUUUUGAAACUAUUUUAAAUAGGCCAUGUUACUGGAGUGGAAAAGAUUUUAAGGAAAAGGCUAUGCAUAAGAGUGACUUGCUGACAGCCCAUUAUGAGGCUUCUGCUGAAAGUCUACCCUGAAUUGACAGUAGAGAUAAAAAUCUAGAGUAACCUGGCCAGACUGAAACAUUCCCUUAAUGGCCCUUGAAACGAGUUUUGGGGAAAAACAAAAGUCCAAACUGUCAUACAUAGAAAGGUUGGUUGGGUCGUUUUUGUCUUUUUUUAAGUAAGAAGAAGGGACAGUGAAAAUGAGGUUUCAAGAUUGUUUGCCUCUGUUUCCACAAUUCUCUUUUCAGAUGGAUUAUUUAUUUUCCCUUCUGUAAAGAGAGACUACUUCUUGAUGCCUCAGUGUAUAUACACAGCCAUAUUUAUGACUUUUUCAUAUGGUGACUGAUAAUUACCCACUCUCAGUCCAUGUUCAGUUUUUUGAGUGGUAGUGUCAAGAAUUAGUCACAGACACAAUGGCUGCUGAUUCAGAUUGUGUGUCUUCUCUAUGUUAUAAAUUAUAAUCCCAUUUAUCCUGUACAUCACUUGACACCAGAGCAAGGCAAGAUAUUUGGGAGGACCCAAGUGAGUCUUUCAGAAUAAAAGAUUUGCCUUAAUAAUAGAAAU
rnacentral:lncRNA from 10 species